rnacentral:tRNA from 1 species
GCCGGGAUAGCUCAGCCGGUAGAGCAACUGUUUCGUAAACAGUAGGUCCGCAGUUCGAGUCUGCGUCUCGGCACCA